CCCGCACAAGCGGAGGAACAUGUGGUUAAUUCGAUGAUACGCGAGGAACCUUACCUGGGCUUAAAUGUAGAUUGCAUGAUGUAGAAAUACACUUCCCUUCGGGGCUAUUUACAAGGUGCUGCAUGGUUGUCGUCAGCUCGUGCCGUGAGGUGUCGGGUUAAGUCCCAUAACGAGCGCAACCCUUAUCGUUAGUUGCCAGCGGGUCAAGCCGGGGACUCUAGCGAGACUGCCACCGUAAGGUGAGAGGAAGGUGGGGAUGACGUCAAAUCAGCACGGCCCUUAUGUCCAGGGCUACACACGUGUUACAAUGGCCAGUACAAAGGGCAGCUACCGGGUGACCGGAUGCUAAUCUCGAAAGCUGGUCUCAGUUCGGAUCGAAGUCUGCAACCCGACUUCGUGAAGCUGGAUUCGCUAGUAAUCGCGCAUCAGCCAUGGCGCGGUGAAUACGUUCCCGGGCCUU
rnacentral:rRNA from 1 species